rnacentral:rRNA from 1 species
GCACUUUAUUUGAUUUCCUUCGGGACUGAUUAUUUUGUGACUGAGUGGCGGACGGGUGAGUAACGCGUGGGUAACCUGCCUUGUACAGGGGGAUAACAGUUGGAAACGGCUGCUAAUACCGCAUAAGCGCACGGCAUCGCAUGAUGCAGUGUGAAAAACUCCGGUGGUAUAAGAUGGACCCGCGUUGGAUUAGCUAGUUGGUGAGGUAACGGCCCACCAAGGCGACGAUCCAUAGCCGACCUGAGAGGGUGACCGGCCACAUUGGGACUGAGACACGGCCCAAACUCCUACGGGAGGCAGCAGUGGGGAAUAUUGCACAAUGGGCGAAAGCCUGAUGCAGCGACGCCGCGUGAGCGAAGAAGUAUUUCGGUAUGUAAAGCUCUAUCAGCAGGGAAGAUAAUGACGGUACCUGACUAAGAAGCACCGGCUAAAUACGUGCCAGCAGCCGCGGUAAUACGUAUGGUGCAAGCGUUAUCCGGAUUUACUGGGUGUAAAGGGAGCGCAGGCGGUGCGGCAAGUCUGAUGUGAAAGCCCGGGGCUCAACCCCGGUACUGCAUUGGAAACUGUCGUACUAGAGUGUCGGAGGGGUAAGCGGAAUUCCUAGUGUAGCGGUGAAAUGCGUAGAUAUUAGGAGGAACAC